GAUGAAGAACGCAGCGAAAUGCGAUAAGUAAUGUGAAUUGCAGAAUUCAGUGAAUCAUCGAAUCUUUGAACGCAUAUUGCGCUCUCUGGUAUUCCGGAGAGCAUGCUUGUUUGAGUAUCAGUAAACACCUCAACUUCCAUAUCUUUUUUUGAAAUGGGAGUUGGACUUGAGUGAUCCCAACGCUUUUCCUCACCGAAAAGUGGCGGGUUACUUGAAAUGCAGGUGCAGCUGGACUUUUCUCUGAGCUAUAAGCAUAUCUAUUUAGUCUGCCUAAAAAACAGAUUAUUACCUUUGCUGCAGCUAACAUAAAGGAGAUUAGUUCUUGUGCUGACUGAUGCAGGAUUCACAAAGACAGCUUCGGCCGACUUUGUAAACUCGAUCUCAAAUCAAGUAAGACUACCCGCUGAACUUAAGCAUAUCAAUAAGCGGAGGA
rnacentral:misc_RNA from 1 species